UCUAGCAUGUGCACGAGUCAUUGGGACUUUUUUUUCAGGAAAGCCCAGAGGCGCAAUGAAAGUGAAGAUCGGCCUUUUCGGCUUGAUCGAGGGAGGAUGGCUCAUUGUUAUUUUUUUAUAAUGACGGGCUCGCACUCCCGGGGCGUCUCGCGCUCAUUUCGAGCGGAGGCGCACCCAGAGCGUACACGCUGGGACCCGAAAGAUGGUGAACUAUGCCUGGUCAGGACGAAGUCAGGGGAAACCCUGAUGGAGGUCCGUAGCGAUUCUGACGUGCAAAUCGAUCGUCGGAACUGGGUAUAGGGGCGAAAGACUAAUCGAACCAUC
rnacentral:rRNA from 1 species